CCCCCGCGAAUGGAUGUCUUAAGAAAAUUGUUAAUAUAUUGCCCAACUAAAACUGACCUUUAAGAAAAGUACAUCAAAAGCUACCUAUUUAACUGAAUCUUCUAAUGCUUGCCUAUUUCAUUUCAGAUUAUGAAGAACCAGACCACUCCAGACUCCUGUUCAAUGACUUUAUUUCACGACUUUUGCUGCAACAAUGGCUGCUGUCGCCUGACACUUGAAAGCUCCCGUUUAACGGCUCUAUUACAAGAAACCUGCUCCUACAUCAGCAGUGGUCUACAUUGAAUACUACUUAUAGGGAAAAUUUCACUCAAGAUCUUCCUUUAUAUUAGGUAUCAAGACGCGAAAAGGUGAAUUUAUGAUUGAUUCUUUUGUGAUGGCACGUCUUAGCUGAGGAAUAUGAAAAGAAUCCCUAACAACGGCGAGAAGAGAACGAGUAAAGAAGAUUGAUAAACUUAUUGAGUAGACAAUAACUCUAAGGUUUUUUCUAAGUAGACAAUAGCUAUGGAUUUUGUUGUAUAUAGUAAUAGUUUCAGAAAUAAACGUUAGGUUUCAUGAG